AGAAAUUGCACUAAAGCACUUCCGGGUGCGGGUCCUGUGCAUGAAAACGUGACAAAGCCGCGCACAGAGGAGAAGCUGUCUCCAACCUUGGACCAUGUAUAGGCUAACGGUGCCCUGGCGUCACAAAAGGAUAAGCUUAAUAAGGAAUGGAUGUAACUCACGUGUGACUUGGAGAUACAUGAGGACGACUAGAUAGAGAACGUGAGUCCAUGAUACCCGUGGCUGUUCCAUCGUCCGACUCUGCUCUACGGUUCCGU